ACGCCGCACCACCGUCAAUCACGCGAUGAAGACCGCGCGUUCGGCAUGGAAUACGGUAUCACGCGCCAAUCCGGGCAUAUUUCCUCCGAAGAAUCCAUUCGAGAAGAUGGGUCUGCAGUCGAACUCUCGGGAAACGCCGCAUGCGACGUUCGCCGAGUUGGCGGCGUUCCGGGCCAAAGCGAUCGAAAUGGGCUAUUCCUCGCUCGCCACUGGCGUUUUGAUUGGGUGGGAGCUGCUUCAGCGCGAGGCGCACAUCUUCAUCCGUUUCGUGGCCGAACAUUACCGGCCUCCGAGCCGGCCAAACCACGUCUAUGUCAUCAACUACAAGACGAGUACGGGCUCGUGGGAGCCACUGUUCAAUGCCAAAGGCAA
rnacentral:misc_RNA from 1 species